rfam:Angiostrongylus cantonensis strain Taiwan genome assembly, scaffold: ACAC_scaffold0004347
GGCCUUGUGGCCUAUUGGAUAAGGCGUCGGUCUUCGGAUCCGAAGAUUGCAGGUUCGAGUCCUGCCAGGGUCG